rnacentral:rRNA from 1 species
AGUGAACGCUGGCGGUAGGCCUAACACAUGCCAGUCGAACGGCAGCACAGUAAGAGCUUGCUCUUACGGGUGGCGAGUGGCGGACGGGUGAGGAAUACAUCGGAAUCUACUUUUUCGUGGGGGAUAACGUAGGGAAACUUACGCUAAUACCGCAUACGACCUACGGGUGAAAGCAGGGGAUCUUCGGACCUUGCGCGAUUGAAUGAGCCGAUGUCGGAUUAGCUAGUUGGCGGGGUAAAGGCCCACCAAGGCGACGAUCCGUAGCUGGUCUGAGAGGAUGAUCAGCCACACUGGAACUGAGACACGGUCCAGACUCCUACGGGAGGCAGCAGUGGGGAAUAUUGGACAAUGGGGGCAAGCCUGAUCCAGCCAUACCGCGUGGGUGAAGAAGGCCUUCGGGUUGUAAAGCCCUUUUGUUGGGAAAGAAAAGCAGCAGGUUAAUACCCCGCUGUUCUGACGGUACCCAAAGAAUAAGCACCGGCUAACUUCGUG